AUUGAACGCUGGCGGCAUGCCUUACACAUGCAAGUCGAGCGGCAGCGCGGGGGCAACCCUGGCGGCGAGCGGCGAACGGGUGAGUAAUACAUCGGAACGUGCCCAGUAGUGGGGGAUAACCUCUCGAAAGAGAGGCUAAUACCGCAUACGACCUACGGGUGAAAGCGGGGGACCGCAAGGCCUCGCGCUAUUGGAGCGGCCGAUGUCGGAUUAGCUAGUUGGCGGGGUAAAGGCCCACCAAGGCGACGAUCCGUAGCUGGUCUGAGAGGACGACCAGCCACACUGGAACUGAGACUCGGUCCAGACUCCUACGGGAGGCUGCAGAGGGGAAUAUUGCGCAAUGGACGAAAGUCUGACGCAGCGACGCCGCGUGUGGGAGGAAGCUCUUCGGGGUGUAAACCACUGUCAGGAGGGAAGAAACUCGCCGGCCCGAACAGGAACGGCGAUUGACGGUACCUCCAAAGGAAGCGCCGGCUAACUCCGUGCUAGCAGCCGCGGUAAGACGGAGGGCG
rnacentral:rRNA from 1 species